GAUGAACGCUAGCGGCAGGCCUAACACAUGCAAGUCGAGGGGUAACAGAGAGAAGCUUGCUUCUUUGCUGACGACCGGCGCACGGGUGCGUAACGCGUAUACAAUCUACCUUUUGCUGAGGGAUAGCCCAGAGAAAUUUGGAUUAAUACCUCAUAGUAUAUAUGAAUCGCAUGGUUUAUAUAUUAAAGGUUACGGCAGAAGAUGAGUAUGCGUUCUAUUAGCUAGAUGGUGUGGUAACGGCACACCAUGGCAACGAUAGAUAGGGGCCCUGAGAGGGGGAUCCCCCACACUGGUACUGAGACACGGACCAGACUCCUACGGGAGGCAGCAGUGAGGAAUAUUGGACAAUGGGCGAGAGCCUGAUCCAGCCAUGCCGCGUGCAGGAAGACUGCCCUAUGGGUUGUAAACUGCUUUUAUACAGGAAGAAACACUCCCUCGUGAGGGAGCUUGACGGUACUGUAAGAAUAAGGAUCGGCUAACUCCGUGCCAGCAGCCGCGGUAAUACGGAGGAUCCAAGCGUUAUCCGGAAUCAUUGGGUUUAAAGGGUCCGUAGGUGGAUAAUUAAGUCAGGGGUGAAAGUCUGCAGCUCAACUGUAGAAUUGCCUUUGAUACUGGUUAUCUUGAAUUAUUAUGAAGUAGUUAGAAUAUGUAGUGUAGCGGUGAAAUGCAUAGAUAUUACAUAGAAUACCAAUUGCGAAGGCAGAUUACUAAUAAUAUAU
rnacentral:rRNA from 1 species